UGGCACGAUUCGAUAGGCUGAAGCCCCGUAAAAUGGAAAUAAUUUAUUUCGGAACUUCAGCCAACUAUAUAAAUCGUGCGAAUUAUCAAACGUUACAGGUAAAAAGAUGAAACUAACAAUUUUUCUCAUUUUUGCAAUGUUUGCAGUGGGUCUAGUUUUCGCCGAUGAACCCACGGAAAAACCAUGUACAUAUUGGGGUGGAAAGGCAUAUAGGUGCGAGAAACAACAACAUUCAGAGUGGCGAACAGCUCGAAGCUCGAAUCCGGAUAAUUCAAAUACAGAAACUCUGUAAUAAAAAAUUAAAAUAUUGCGAAAUAAUUACUGAAACAUUCAAUAAACAAAUAUCAAA